GGGGAAUAUUGCACAAUGGGCGCAAGCCUGAUGCAGCCAUGCCGCGUGUGUGAAGAAGGCCUUCGGGUUGUAAAGCACUUUCAGCGGGGAGGAAGGCGUUAAGGUUAAUAACCUUGGCGAUUGACGUUACCCGCAGAAGAAGCACCGGCUAACUCCGUGCCAGCGGCCGCGGUAAUACGGAGGGUGCAAGCGUUAAUCGGAAUUACUGGGCGUAAAGCGCACGCAGGCGGUCUGUCAAGUCGGAUGUGAAAUCCCCGGGCUCAACCUGGGAACUGCGUUCGAAACUGGCAGGCUAGAGUCUUGUAGAGGGGGGUAGAAUUCCAGGUGUAGCGGUGAAAUGCGUAGAGAUCUGGAGGAAUACCGGUGGCGAAGGCGGCCCCCUGGACAAAGACUGACGCUCAGGUGCGAAAGCGUGGGGAGCAAAC
rnacentral:rRNA from 1 species